rnacentral:rRNA from 1 species
UACAGAGGUCUCAAGCGUUGUUCGGAUUCAUUGGGCGUAAAGGGUGCGUAGGCGGCGCGGUAAGUCGGGUGUGAAAUCUCGGAGCUUAACUCCGAAACUGCAUUCGAUACUGCCGUGCUUGAGGACUGGAGAGGAGACUGGAAUUUACGGUGUAGCGGUGAAAUGCGCAGAUAUCAGGAGGAACACCGGUGGCGAAGGCGGAUCUCUGGGCCUGUUCUGACGCUGAGGCGCGAAAGCUAGGGGAGCGAACAGG